AUGCAUGGUUUCUAAAAUUCAUAUAUGUCACUCACAUCAAAGGGCACACCAUCAGGGAACCUGGACUGUAGUUCUGAAGGGAAAUAACCAUCCAUAAUAUCUUGAAUACAUUGCUGAAACAAAGUAAAAUAUCAUGAGCAUAAACUUUCUUGCACCAUCCUUGGUCUUGGAAACAACUGCACACCCCUCCCCUGACAGUAUGUUAAGUUCCUUGAUGUUCUUGAUGAGAAGAUCAAAGUUGAUUUGUAAGGUGUCUUGUGGGACGGAUGCAACUAAGUAUCAAAUAAAAAAUGUCGAAAACAGA